GAUGAAGAACGUAGCGAAAUGCGAUAAGUAAUGUGAAUUGCAGAAUUCAGUGAAUCAUCGAAUCUUUGAACGCACCUUGCGCUCCUUGGUAUUCCGAGGAGCAUGCCUGUUUGAGUGUCAUGAAAUUCUCAACCUUUUCAGCUUUCUUUGUUGAUCAGGCUUGGAUGUGGGAGUAUGCGGGCUUCUCAGAAGUCGGCUCUCCUGAAAUGCAUUAGCGGGACCUUUGUUGCCUGGCUUUGGUGUGAUAAUUAUCUACGCCAUUGUAGUCAAGGAGCUUAAAAUGAGGUUUCAGCUUCUAACCGUCUCCCCUGAGACAACUUUUUGACAAUUUGACCUCAAAUCAGGUACGACUACCCGCUGAACUUAAGCAUAUCAAUAAGCGGAGGA
rnacentral:misc_RNA from 1 species